CUAUGUUAAGGUUCAAAUAUGUUUGCAAAUCACCCACAGAAAGACCAGGCUUUCUUUUACUUUCAGCAAUGUCAAUAAGUCUCUGCGCGUGGAUUUUCUCAAGGAUAGAUUCUUGUUUGCGAAUUUUAGUUGAAGAAACAGAAUUCGAAUUUUCACGCAUAGCCGCGUUAAAUGCGUUAUUUUUUGUAGGCAUAACAAUGCCAUUUUCUUCCCAGGUUCCAGCAGUGAGAUUCAAAAAAUUCUGAAUAUACUCUUUGCCAUACUCACUAAGGAUACUUUCAGGAUGGUAUUGAACACCCUCAAUAGCAUACUUUUUAUGGCGUGCACCCAUUAUUACACCAUUCUCGGUCCAGCUUGUAACGUCCAAACAAUCAGGAAGUGAUGAAAUUUUUCCAGCAAGAGAAUGAUAUCUUGUUACAGAAAUAUUUUGAGGUAUUCCUUGGUAAAAUCCGAGACCGUCGUGAUUUAUUUUAGAAACUUUUCCAUGUAUGAUUUCACCAGCGGAAUCAACUUUACCACCCAUUGUCUCAAAAAUACACUGAAGUCCCAUACACACACCAAGUAUAGGAAUCUUUCCAGCAAAUCUCGAAAUAGCCUCGUUACAAAUACCACCAUCACGCGCAGGAUGUCCAGGCCCAGGUGAGAGAACUAGUUUUAAAGGAUUAAGUUUUUCUAAUUCAUCGACAGUGAUUUCAUCAUUGCGAAAAACCAUAAUAGGAUAUCGUUUUUCCAGAUUAGAAAGAUAUUGAACAACGUUCCAGGUGAAACUGUCAUAAUUAUCUAUCAUAACAAUUGGUCUUUCAGCAACUUCUUUAACUGCAUUUUCUGAGGCGUCUCCUUUGACGCUUUCACCAACGUCAACUUUUUCAGACAUUUUCAGCUUGUUAUAAUUGAGACGUGCUAACGUUAAUUUUCCAAAAACUCAAAACCAAAAAUGCUGAAUGAAAAAGUAGCCGAUGAUGGCAAAUGACAAUUUCGACUUUUGAAUGAUCGGGAAAGAUAGUAUAGAAGCGAUGUUUCUUGCUAAUGUAUUUUGCGAACUGCAACGAAAAAUAUAUUUGGUUUUAAGACAUUGCAACUAAGAAAUCAUCGCAUAAUGAACGUUAGCAAAUAACGAUAACAAUCGUUGUACUAUUGUACUAGAAUUAGCAGGUAAAGAAGAAGUUUGACGAGGAGAAAACGAAAUUUUUUUUAUACUGGGGUUAGGGAAUAACGAAAUCAUAAAAAUAAUCUUUAAUUAGGCAUAAAAAAAUAAUUAAAAAAUUGGUGUUUCAAUUGUCGGUUCAUUUAAAACUGUUAAUAUAAUAAAGUUGUAAACCAAAUGACUAAACAGUGAUUUUAAAAGUAUCCUAUAGCUGUUGUUUACUCUGGUAAUUCGACACGUAAAAUACAUGAUUUCUCGACUUCAACAAUUCUUGGGAAUUUUUAGAAAUUUACAGUUAGUGCUAGAUAUU